rnacentral:rRNA from 1 species
GACGAACGCUGGCGGCGUGCCUAAUACAUGCAAGUCGAACGCAGUGGGGACGGGUGAGUAACACGUGGGUAACCUCCCAUCAGAGGGGAUAACACUUGGAAACAGGUGCUAAACCGAUACUGAUGGAUGGACCCGCGGUGCAUUAGCUAGUUGGUGAGGUAACGGCUCACCAAGGCCACGAUGCAUAGGCGGCCUGGAGGGGUGAGCGGCCAAACUGGGGCUGGGAAAAGGGCCAGAAUCCUACGGGGAGCAGCAGUAGGGGAACUUCGGGAAUGGGAGAAAGUCUGGACCGGCAACGGCGCGUGAGGGAAGAAGGUUUUCGGAUCGUAAAACUCUGUUGUUAGAGAAGCGGUAUCUAACCAGGAAGCCACGGCUAACUACGUGCCAGCCGCCGCGGUUAAUUC